UGUGGAAAAUUUUGGUCACACCGCUUUGGUGCGUUACCAUUGAGCAAAUCUCCAAUAUCAACCCUCUUAUUUUCCUCAACCACAUGCCUUACUUUCUACUAUUCCCACUGUCAUUUCUAACUCCCUCAUCAUGCCCUCAUCCUCAUCCAAUAUCUUCUCCCCUUCCCCUUUCCUUCUCCCACCAUUCCGGACGAUGCUUGGUACAUGGACUCUGAAGCCACCCAUCACCCAUGAUUUAAACUCUCUCUCCAAACUCAUCUCAUACGAUGGUGGUGAGGAAGUGACCAUUGGAAAUGGAUCUCUUUACCAAGAAAAUUCUUCUUCGAGACCAUCUUGAAUGUGGACUAUACAAGGUUGGUUCGUCAAAAUGUUCAACACCUGUUCGUUCACCACCGUUUGCUGCUGCUAUUUCUGCUUCCGUCAACACCAAUCUAUGGCAUUUUCGUCUUGGUCACUCAUCUUUACCUAAAACGAGUUUUAGAAUCCUGUAAAUUGGACCAUAAAUCCAAUAUUUUGUCUACUGUUUAUUCUUUUUGUCAAUAAGCUAAAAGUUAGUUAUCUUUUCCUACAAAUCAUACUAGAGCUUCUAAGUCUUUUGAACUUGUUCACUCUAACUUAUGGGGAUCUUCUCUUCAAAAAUCAAUUAAUGGUGCAUGUUAUUUCUUAUUGGUCAUUGAUGAUCAUACCUGUUAUACUUUGCUUUAUCUCCUCAAAACUAAGGAUAAAGUAUUUCCUAUCUUUCUUCAAUUUCGGGCAAUGGUUAAAACUCAAUUUAAUCUUGAUAUUAAAUCUCUUCAAUCUGACUGGGGAAGGGAAUUUCGAUCUCUCAUUAUCUCGCCUCAAACUCCGCAGCAAAACGGUUGCGUUGAACACAAAAAUCGACAUGUUGUUGAAUUUGGCCUCUCCUUGUUAGCUCAUUUUUCUCUUCCUUUAACAUAUUGGUCGUUCUCUUUUCAAACUAUCGUUUAUUUAAUUACUCACUUGCCCCAUAUCUGUUUUAUCCAACCAUUCUCCUUUUUUUCUCAAUUUAUUAGGUAUUUUUUAUUGUUCUUUCUUCCCUUUUCUUCACUCAUUAAAUCAUCAGAAACUUUAAUUCCGCUCCGCAAAAUGUAUUUUCAUUGGUUGCAUCUCUAAUUACAAGGGAUAUUUAUGUUUUGAUCCUAAAUCUUGGCAUUUAUAUAUUUCUCGGCAUGUUGUGUUUAAUGAAACUAAUUUUCCCUUUAAAAAUUUUGUUUAAUCCAUCACCUCCUUUUAAAUCUCAUAUUGUUGAUCAUUCAACAGCUCCCUCUCCCAUUUCCAACGGUCACAACCCUUUGCCUCACAAAAAUUUUAAACUUCUAAUUUUUAGAAUUUUCAAAAUUCCAACUUUCAGCCCAUUAAUCUCAAUCACAUGUUUUCCCCUCCUUUUUCUCUAGAAAACUCAUGCCUCCCAUUACAAUCUUCUUAUAUCCCUACAAUCAACAACCCAUGCAUGCCACCGCCUACAGACCCGUCCUUGCCACAGCCCGAAAAAUCCGUCCUCCCAUCCCACUACCCAUAGACCCAUCACUUGAAUGUUCAUCUUCUUCUUUACCUUUGUCUGUUAUUCACCUAACCCUCGCCUCACCACCCAAAACCAGUCUCUUACCUGAAACCAACCACAUCCCACAACUAAAUCGGACAUGCACUCUCGUCUCUCCUUCGCCUGGUUGUUGACCUGUUGGUUGUAAAUGGGUCUUUCGCCUCAAAUUCAAGCAAAAUGGUGUCAUGGAUAGGCACAAGGCACGCUUGGUGUUGGAAAGGGAUUUACCCAAACGUCUGGUCUUGAUUACUUUGACACUUUCAGUUCGGUUGUUAAACCAUCCACGGUGCGCAUAGUUCUCUCGUUGGCAGUAAGUUUCAAUUGGAAAGUUCAGCAGCACGAUGUAAACAUUGUGUUCCUCAAUGGUGAUCUUAACGAGGAGGUAUCUAUGGAACAACCUCCAGGAUUUAUUGAUCCUGCCCACUCGAGUUUUGUAUGUCGGCUACAUAAAUCUAUAUAUGGUCUCAAACAAAGUCCUUGUGCUUGGUUUCUAAAGUUGAGCUCAUGCUUACUUGAUUGGGGUUUUGUUUCUUCCAAAACUGAUCAUCCAUGUUUUAUUUUCGUCAGUUUUUUGAUAUUGUAAUCAUCUUGGUCUAUGUGGACGAUAUCAUUAUCACAGGCAACCAUUCUGAUUUACUUUCCUCUUUAAUUUUACGUUUAAGUAGUACUUUUUUGUUAAAGGAUCUUGGGUGUCUAUCUUACUUUCUUGGUGCUCAAACCUCAUUUACAACUCUGUUACAUCUCUUAUUUAUUACAUCGAGCAAAUAUGUCUAAUUGUAAGUCUAUCUCUACACUAAUGGCUUUUGGAGCAUCAUUAUCUCUCAUCGAUGGAGAGCCCUUACCUAACCCAACUAAGCAUCGAAGUCUUGUAGAUGCCUUACAGUAUUGCACAAUCAUGCGCCCCGACGUAUCUUUCGCUGUAAAUAAGUGGGCGAGUUGUCCAGAUGAUUAGAAGCACGAAUGAGUACUGUACUUUCUUGGGAAACAAUUUAAUAUCUUGGUCAUAAUCAAAACAAAAAAUAGUUUCGUGCUCUAGUGCUGAAUCUGAGUAUCGGGAACUAGCUAAUGUUGCGGCCGAGAUCAUCUAGAUUUCUGCAAUGCUCAAUGAGUUAGGGUACCCUCCAUCUUCUCCACCGCUUUUGCUUUGUGACAAGAUUAGUGCAACUUACGUUGCUACGAAUCCGAUCUUGCACCAAUGAACAAAGCAUAUCGAGAUUGAUCAACAUUUUGUUCGAGAAUGCAUCCUCAAUAAGCAACUUCUCGUCAAAUAUGUUCCAAGCGAAGACCAAAUUGCGGAUGCUCUCACAAAACCACUUUCCACAUCUCGGUUUCACAAUGUUCACACCAAGCUCACGUUCUUCCAAAGCCCAAUUCGCUUGCGGGUGAUGUUAAACAGUAGCUUUAGAAGCCUAAUUAAGCCAGGAGUCAUUAUCUUACUUUUAUUUAAUAUCCUUUGUGUUAUCAUCUUUUCUUGUGUUGUAUCCUUUGGUUAAAAUGAUGCC